GAUAACAAUCUUUUCAUUAUUAAUAAUUCUAUAAUAAUUUCUUCACUAUUAUCUCUGAUUAACAUAAUUUUUGUGAGUAUUAUUUCAUCUUUCCUUUCAACUCUAUGCUUCACAAACCACCAUACAAAAGAUUCAGUAGUGAAAGCAGAUGACUUUGUUGCCAGGCAGCUCAUGUGCUGUUGUGUUGCAACAAGCAAUUGGACUUUCACUAAAAUCCAAAUCCUCCUUCAAGAUUCAAGUUACCCUCUUGCCAGCAAGAUUAUGGUUAGAAUUUAAAAAUUCACCUAAAAUAUGAAUGUUAGCUACCUGAUUAUGAGGAUUAACGAUUUAUGGAUUGCUAUCGUGGGUUGAAGAAGAACCGAAGAGAAAACUGUAGAAUUUGGGGGGUAAAGAGAGAGUAAGGAUUGAGCUUAAGACUGAUACAAAAGCGUGAUAUAUGAUUGUGGGGAUACACGUGUGCUGUUGAUGUAUUUUUGAAAAAAAAAUACAGCUAUUAGAAGCGUGUAGGCUAUAAAAAGUAAUUAAAUAAAAGUUAAACACGUGUGUAGGCGACAUUAGGUAAUUAAGGGAAAGUGAAGUUGUAAGCGAUAAUUACGGCCCACUAUUGGCUAAUCCGGGUACUUUUCCCAUUAUUUUAUCUUUCCUUUGAACUCUAUGCUUCACAAACCACCAUACAAAGAUUCAGAUUAAUUUCUUCAUCACUUAAGCUAAGUAGUGAAAGCAGAUGACUUUGUGGCCAGGCAGCUCAUGUGCUGUUGUAUUACAGCCAGCAAUUGGACUUCCACUAAAAUCCAAAUCCUCCUUCAAGAUUCAAGUUACCCUCUUGCCAGCAAGAUUAUGAUUAGAACCUAGAUGGGCUUCUCUGCACAAUGUAGUUGCUGCUAGAAAAGGAGAAGACACUUGGGAUGUGUUUUGUAUGAAGGACAUUAGCUCUCUUUCAAUCUUACUUGGAGUCCAGAUUUACCAUACUCCACUGAUGAAAGUUGUCUGGAGAAAAUAUUUUCAAAUUUUGGCCAGGUUGCUAAAGUUAAGAUUGUCAAGGAUGAAGUGAUCCAGAGAUCAUAGGGAUUUGCUUUUAUUCAGUACACUUCUCAAGAAAAUGCCAUGCUUGCUCUUGAUAGCAUGGAUCACAAGUACCUCAAUGGCAGGGUUAUUUCUGUGGAACUUGCGAAGCCUACAAUGAAAGACUUCGGCAGAUACCCCAAAACUUGUGGACCACCUGUGGAGAGAUUACCAUCUGAAAAUGACGUUCCUGACCUAAAAGAAAACUGCUAAGGCUUACACUAGUUUUAGAAAGUCAUUGCUAGGACCUAGGUGAAUGACACUUCCACAAGUCAUCAUUAUGGAAACUAGCUGGUAAGUGCACGUAUAUAUUGUGAUUGUUCUCUGAGGCAUGGCACGUUGCAUGUCCGUCCAGGUCAAUUACUGUAUGCUAGAAGAGGCUAAGUGUACUUGCUAUGUAUAUUGAAUCACAAGACUUAAAUUGUCAACGAUACAUGAUUUACAAAGAAGAGAUAAGGGUUAGGAUUAGCUGUUGAUAAGUCAGCAUUUCAGUUGGUUACAUUAGCCUGGAGUUGGUUUUGAAUUCACUGUUGGCGGUAAAGUUUGUUAAUGGCAGUUCACCUUAGCCAAACAGAUUCGAUCUAGUACAGCUAUAUAAAGAUUUAAUCCUUUCUGGAUCGAUCAGAAAUACAUUUACAUUUUG